rnacentral:rRNA from 1 species
GACGAACGCUGGCGGCGUGCUUAACACAUGCAAGUCGAACGGAAAGGCCCUGCUUUUGUGGGGUGCUCGAGUGGCGAACGGGUGAGUAACACGUGAGUAACCUGCCCUUGACUUUGGGAUAACUUCAGGAAACUGGGGCUAAUACCGGAUAGGAGCUCCUGCUGCAUGGUGGGGGUUGGAAAGUUUCGGCGGUUGGGGAUGGACUCGCGGCUUAUCAGCUUGUUGGUGGGGUAGUGGCUUACCAAGGCUUUGACGGGUAGCCGGCCUGAGAGGGUGACCGGCCACAUUGGGACCGAGAUACGGCCCAGACGCCUACGGGAGGCAGCAGUGGGGAAUAUUGCACAAUGGGCGGAAGCCUGAUGCAGCAACGCCGCGUGCGGGAUGACGGCCUUCGGGUUGUAAACCGCUUUCGCCUGUGACGAAGCGUGAGUGACGGUAAUGGGUAAAGAAGCACCGGCUAACUACG